GGCGGCAUGGGUGGCGGCCAGCAGCAGCAAGGCGGCUGGGGUCAGCCGCAGCAGCCGCAGGGCGGCAAUGCGCAGUUCAGCGGCGGCGCGCAGUCUC
rnacentral:tRNA from 1 species